rnacentral:rRNA from 1 species
GAUGAACGCUAGCGACAGGCUUAACACAUGCAAGUCGAGGGGCAACAUGAUUUUAGCUUGCUAAGAUUGAUGGCGACCGGCGCACGGGUGAGUAACGCGUAUGUAACUUGCCUACCAGAGGGGGAUAGCCCGGCGAAAGUCGGAUUAAUACCGCAUAAAACAGGGGUUCCGCAUGGAAAUAUUUGUUAAAGGAUUACCGCUGGUAGAUAGGCAUGCGUUCCAUUAGAUAGUUGGUGAGGUAACGGCUCACCAAGUCGACGAUGGAUAGGGGUUCUGAGAGGAAGGUCCCCCCACAUUGGUACUGAGACACGGACCAAACUCCUACGGGAGGCAGCAGUGAGGAAUAUUGGUCAAUGGGCGAGAGCCUGAACCAGCCAAGUCGCGUGAAGGAAGACUGCCCUAUGGGUUGUAAACCUCUUUAGUCGGGGAGCAAAAAGCGGACGUGUCCGCCAUUGAGCGUACCCGAAGAAUAAGCAUCGGCUAACUCCGUG